AACGAACGCUGGCGGCAUGCCUAACACAUGCAAGUCGAACGAGAUCUUCGGGUCUAGUGGCGCACGGGUGCGUAACGCGUGGGAAUCUGCCCUUGGGUUCGGAAUAACUUCGGGAAACUGAAGCUAAUACCGGAUGAUGACGUAAGUCCAAAGAUUUAUCGCCCAAGGAUGAGCCCGCAUAGGAUUAGCUAGUUGGUGAGGUAAAGGCUCACCAAGGCGACGAUCCUUAGCUGGUCUGAGAGGAUGAUCAGCCACACUGGGACUGAGACACGGCCCAGACUCCUACGGGAGGCAGCAGUGGGGAAUAUUGGACAAUGGGCGAAAGCCUGAUCCAGCAAUGCCGCGUGAGUGAUGAAGGCCUUAGGUUGUAAGCUCUUUGCCCGGGAUGAUAAUGACAGUACCGGGAGAAUAAGCUCCGGCUAACUCCGUGCCAGCAGCCGCGGUAAUGUGACUACUG
rnacentral:rRNA from 1 species